AUUGAACGCUGGCGGCAUGCCUUACACAUGCAAGUCGAACGGUAACAGGUCUUCGGAUGCUGACGAGUGGCGAACGGGUGAGUAAUACAUCGGAACGUGCCCGAGAGUGGGGGAUAACGAGGCGAAAGAUUUGCUAAUACCGCAUACGAUCUCAGGAUGAAAGCAGGGGAACGCAAGGCCCUGCGCUCAAGGAGCGGCCCAUGGCAGAUUAGGUAGUUGGUGGGAUAAAAGCUUACCAAGCCGACGAUCUGUAGCUGGUCUGAGAGGACGACCAGCCACACUGGGACUGAGACACGGCCCAGACUCCUACGGGAGGCAGCAGUGGGGAAUUUUGGACAAUGGGCGCAAGCCUGAUCCAGCCAUGCCGCGUGCAGGAUGAAGGCCUUCGGGUUGUAAACUGCUUUUGUACGGAACGAAAAGACUCUGGUUAAUACCUGGGGUCCAUGACGGUACCGUAAGAAUAAGCACCGGCUAACUACGUGCCAGCCGCCGCUGUAACAC
rnacentral:rRNA from 1 species